rnacentral:miRNA from 1 species
UGCGUGUGUGCGUGUGUGUGUGUGUGUGUGUGUGUGUGUGUGUGUGUGUGUGUGUCUGUGUUCUAACUCACCCACACG